GGCGAACGCUGGCGGCGUGCCUAACACAUGCAAGUCGAACGGAAAGGCCCUGCUUUUGUGGGGUGCUCGAGUGGGGAAAGGGUGAGUAACACGUGAGUAACCUGCCCUUGAUUUUGGGAUAACUUCACGAAACUGGGGCUAAUACCGGAUAGGAUCUCCUCCUGCAUUGUGGGCGUUGGAAAGUUUCGGCGGUUGGGGAUGGACUCGCGGCUUACCAGCUUGUUGGUGGGGUAGUGGCUUACCAAGGCUUUGACGGGUAGCCGGCCUGAGAAGGUGACCGGCCACAUGGGGACUGAGAGACGGCCCAGACGCCUACUGGAGGCAGCAGUGGGAAAUAUUGUUCAAUGGGCGGAAGCCUGAUGCAGCAACCCCGCGUGCUGGAUGACGGCCUUCGGGUAGUAAACCGCUUUCGCCUGUGACGAAGCGUGAGUGACGGUAAUGGGUAAAGAAGCACCGGCUAACUACGUG
rnacentral:rRNA from 1 species